rnacentral:rRNA from 1 species
AUGGCGGCGAGGAGAGCCAGCGCCCGCGCGCGGCCCAACGUGCUGGUGACGGGGACGCCGGGGACGGGGAAGACGACGACGUGCUCCCUCCUCGCCGACGCCGCGGGCGUGGCGCACGUCAACAUCGGCGACCUGGUCCGCGAGAAGGGCCUCCACGACGGCUGGGACGAGGACCUCGACUGCCACGUCAUCAACGAGGACCUGGUUUGUGAUGAGCUUGAGGACAGGAUGGAAGAAGGCGGUGUACUAGUAGAUUAUCACGGAUGUGAUUUCUUUCCAGAACGUUGGUUUGACCUUGUGGUCGUGCUUCAGACAGACAACUCAAUUCUGCAUGAUCGCUUGACUAGCAGAGGCUACAUGGGUGCCAAGCUCACAAACAACAUAGAGUGCGAGAUCUUCCAGGUGCUCCUGGAGGAGGCGAGGGAGAGCUACAAGGAGGAUAUAGUGAUGCCGCUGCGAAGCGACAGCGUCGAGGAUAUCAGCAGGAAUGUAAGCACGUUGACGGAGUGGAUAAACAACUGGAGACCAUCACAGUGA